AGUGAACGCUGGCGGUAGGCCUAACACAUGCAAGUCGAACGGCAGCACAGUAAGAGCCUGCUCUUACGGGUGGCGAGUGGCGGACGGGUGAGGAAUACAUCGGAAUCUACUUUUUCGUGGGGGAUAACGUAGGGAAACUUACGCUAAUACCGCAUACGACCUACGGGUGAAAGCAGGGGAUCUUCGGACCUUGCGCGAUUGAAUGAGCCGAUGUCGGAUUAGCUAGUUGGCGGGGUAAAGGCCCACCAAGGCGACGAUCCGUAGCUGGUCUGAGGAUGAUCAGCCACACUGGAACUGAGACACGGUCCAGACUCCUACGGGAGGCAGCAGUGGGGAAUAUUGGACAAUGGGCGCAAGCCUGAUCCAGCCAUACCGCGUGGGUGAAGAAGGCCUUCGGGUUGUAAAGCCCUUUUGUUGGGAAAGAAAAGCAGCAGGUUAAUACCCCGCUGUUCUGACGGUACCCAAAGAAUAAGCACCGGCUAACUUCGUG
rnacentral:rRNA from 1 species